rnacentral:rRNA from 1 species
AGUGAACGCUGGCGGUAGGCCUAACACAUGCAAGUCGAACGGCAGCACAGUAAGAGCUUGCUCUUACGGGUGGCGAGUGGCGGACGGGUGAGGAAUACAUCGGAAUCUACUUUUUCGUGGGGGAUAACGUAGGGAAACUUACGCUAAUACCGCAUACGACCUACGGGUGAAAGCAGGGGAUCUUCGGACCUUGCGCGAUUGAAUGAGCCGAUGUCGGAUUAGCUAGUUGGCGGGGUAAAGGCCCACCAAGGCGACGAUCCGUAGCUGGUCUGAGAGGAUGAUCAGCCACACUGGAACUAAGACACGGUCCAGACUCCUACGGGAGGCAGCAGUGGGGAAUAUUGGACAAUGGGCGCAAGCCUGAUCCAGCCAUACCGCGUGGGUGAAGAAGGCCUUCGGGUUGUAAAGCCCUUUUGUUAGGAAAGAAAAGCAGCAGGUUAAUACCCCGCUGUUCUGACGGUACCCAAAGAAUAAGCACCGGCUAACUUCGUG